rnacentral:pre_miRNA from 14 species
GUUUGACACCCUGAAAGACCCCCAGAGCGGGGAGACCCUUACUCAAGUCUCGGGAUGAUGCGACCCCCCAAGAACUCACGUGAGACC